rnacentral:rRNA from 1 species
GAGGCAGCAGUGGGGAAUUUUGGACAAUGGGCGAAAGCCUGAUCCAGCAAUGCCGCGUGUGUGAAGAAGGCCUUCGGGUUGUAAAGCACUUUUGUCCGGAAAGAAAUCCUUGGCUCUAAUACAGCCGGGGGAUGACGGUACCGGAAGAAUAAGCACCGGCUAACUACGUGCCAGCAGCCGCGGUAAUACGUAGGGUGCGAGCGUUAAUCGGAAUUACUGGGCGUAAAGCGUGCGCAGGCGGUUUGCUAAGACCGAUGUGAAAUCCCCGGGCUCAACCUGGGAACUGCAUUGGUGACUGGCAGGCUAGAGUAUGGCAGAGGGGGGUAGAAUUCCACGUGUAGCAGUGAAAUGCGUAGAGAUGUGGAGGAAUACCGAUGGCGAAGGCAGCCCCCUGGGCCAAUACUGACGCUCAUGCACGAAAGCGUGGGGAGCAAACAGGAUUAGAUACCCUGGUAGUCCACGCCCUAAACGAUGUCAACUAGUUGUUGGGGAUUCAUUUCCUUAGUAACGUAGCUAACGCGUGAAGUUGACCGCCUGGGGAGUACGGUCGCAAGAUUAAAA